rnacentral:snoRNA from 1 species
UAGAGGAGGGGGAAAAAAAAUUAUUUACAAAAUUUUCAAUAUAUAAU